CACGUAGGAGACUAGCGUUAUCCGGAUUUACUGGGCGUAAAGCGCGUGCAGGUGGCUCGGAAAGUUCGAUGUGAAAGCUCCCGGCUUAACUGGGAGAGGUCGUUGAAUACUUUCGGGCUAGAGGAUGGGAGAGGGAGGCGGAAUUCCGGGUGUAGUGGUGAAAUGCGUAGAUAUCCGGAGGAACACCAGUGGCGAAAGCGGCCUCCUGGCCCAUUUCUGACACUCAGACGCGAAAGCUAGGGUAGCAAACGGG
rnacentral:rRNA from 2 species